UGGGGGAAACCCUGACGCAGCAACGCCGCGAGAGUGAUGAAGGCCUUCGGGUCGUAAAGCUCUGUCAGAGGGGCAGAAAUGCAGGGGUGCUAAUAUCAUCUUUGCUUGACGGUACCCUCAAAGGAAGCACCGGCUAACUCCGUGCCAGCAGCCGCGGUAAUACGGAGGGUGCGCGCGUUGUUCGGCAUUAUUCGGCGUAAAGCGCGUGUAGGCGGUUUGAUAAGUCUGAUGUGAAAGCCCCGGGCUCAACCUGGGAAGUGCAUUGGGAACUGUCAGACUUGAAUACGGGAGAGGGUAGUGGAAUUCCGAGUGUAGGAGUGAAGUCCGUAGAUAUUAUGAGGAACACCGGUGGCGAAGGCGGCUACCUGGACCGAUAUUGACGCUGGGACGCGAAAGCGUGGGGAGCAAACAG
rnacentral:rRNA from 1 species